ACGCUCGACACCUACGAGAGGCAGCAGUGGGGAAUAUUGCACAAUGGGGGAAACCCUGAUGCAGCGACGCCGCGUGAGCGAAGAAGUAUUUCGGUAUGUAAAGCUCUAUCAGCAGGGAAGAAAGUGACGGUACCUGACUAAGAAGCACCGGCUAAAUACGUGCCAGCAGCCGCGGUAAUCUGAGCGGGCUGGCAAGGC
rnacentral:rRNA from 1 species